GGAAGGUUAAACUGGCCUUUUCCACAAAUCUAUUAAAAUUGAACGAUUUACACACGCGUAUCCAAGGGAGAUUCAAAAUUCAAAAAUAAGAUCCACAAUAACCUCAAUAUCCAUUCACGUAUCCGAAGAGCAAAUCCCAAAUCCGUUCCAUCGAUGGCGAAGACAAAGGGAAAUCGGAGGUGAUGAAGGUCUCAACAUUAGGGUUAGGGUUCCGCCAUAUCAGCGACGGUUUGAGAUGUCGCCUUACGAAGGGUAAUGGUUGUGAGCUCCUGAAAUGAAUCGACAUCUACAUGUCUCAGAUCUGGUCAGAUCAUCAAUCUCUAAGACCAAUCCGACGAUUAGGUAUGUUUCACUUGCUCCGGUUGUUUUCAGUUUGUUAUGAUUUCGGUGAUCUGGAACAUUGUUUUUGUUCUAUUAAUGUUUGUAUAUAGAUAUAUUUUUGUACAUUAGAAUGAGGAUAUAAUGUUGUGAUACGUACACCAACAGGUGAUAUGUCACAAGUGGGCAGAAGUUCUAUUUGCAGAUGCUUUUUCAUCAUUUUUGAGGAUGCUGGGUUAAAUGCUGAUAAGAUUUUUAUCGAAUUAUGAGGGCAUGAACCCUGUCAUGAGCCCCUGUUGAAGCACAGUGGCUUUUUACAGACAACUACAUGAACAUCCAGUGGAAUACUACACAUAUAUAGUGGUAGCUUAGCGAUAGGAGGUUCAAACAUAGUGGAAGUUACACAACAAUAAGUAACCCAGAAGGGGGUAUACUAAAAUAUGAAUUGGAUGACAAAAUUGUGAUACGAUGCCGCAUUUGUUUAUGUGUAGCUGCCAACUUAAACUUAUUUAAUUUAUAUCUAACGUUAAUCAUGUGUACGUAGUUUUCUGUGAAAUUAUCUUAGUAUUGCACUCGUUGGACCAAGAUGCGCUAAAGGGGCUAACACCAUCAAUCAAACUGAGAGCAAAAGCAUCUAAAUUUGCCAAAGCAACAAUGAAGGCACUAAUGCAUCAUUCAAGAGAUUUGGAGUAUGGGCUGACUGGGACAACCUUUAUCUCACUCUUGAUCAGAGGCUACUCAGAUUGGAGUGUUCGAGCAAAUGGUUUAUAAAGGGUGAGAAAACCAGUUCACUAGAGUCUUUCAUCCUGCACUAGGUUAGGUGCAUCUGCUUGUAUGGAGUGGUGACUAUCCGUGCUAAAAAAGGUUUGACAUGUGGGGUAUACGGAGAAUUUUGGCCUAUUUACUUAAGAACUGGUCGAUUCAGGUCAUGUUUGUUCUCUUAAGAGUUGUAUGAAGAAAACAACUAAAAACGAAACAUGUUAAACGGGUCGGAUUUUGUCCAAGUGUACAUUCUUUUCCAUAUGUUAAAGAGAAUGAAAGUUUUUUGAUUUUGUUGACAGGUUUGUGAAGAAGGAAUUAGCUGCAAAAUAAAGUCAUAAUUCUUUAUUUGGAGACCCAUCCCUCAACACUGUAAAAACCUUGAGGUAUUGGCCAUUGGGUAUUCAAUCCAUAAGAAAUAUGAGACCAAGAAACAAAGAUAUGUUGCAGUCUUUGAUGGUCCAAAAUUUCCACUUUGGUGUCAUGUAUUCUUUGAUCAAGUAUUGGGUAGCGUCUAGCGAUAACACUGGGUAUGU